UGGCAGACUAAAAAUAUUAUGGUGUCAUCUUACACAAAAGAAGCUAUCCAAGCUAAGUAUAUAUCCAUAUUAAACAUUAUCCAAGGAGAUGUGGAUCCUACACAGCUUGCAAAGCAUACGUGAAAGAAAGCUCGUUAACUUUAUUGAGUGGGGCCCAGCUAGCAUUCAGGUUGCAUUAUCUAGAAAAUCGCCAUACAUCCAAACUACCCAUCGGGUAAGUGGUCUAAUGCUGGCAAAACCAUACCAGCAUUCGGCAUCUUUUCAGCAAAUGCCUGGGUCAGUAUGAAAAGCUGAGGAAAAAACAGGCUUUCCUUGACAAUUAUCGAAAGUUUCCAAUGUUUGUAGUAAGUCCCAGAGUUCUAAGACUCCACAUUUGGAUUGAAUUCACAACAUCAAAGCCUUUUUUUUGGAUUGUGUGUUCAUGAAAGUUGAAAAGUUUAAGAGGAGUUUGAUGAAUCUCAGGAGAUAAUAGAAAGCUUGGUCGAUGAAUACAAGGCAUGCGAGUCUCCAGAUUACAUCAAAUGGGGAAUGGAGUGAUCUUGUCCGAAAUCGAUGAAGGCGGUGAGCUGGGAACGUGACUCUGCUGUUAACUCGGUGAAGAUCUUGCGCUUUCCUGUAACACAAGGAGUGUUAAUGUCGGGGCAGGGAAGGGAUUCCCGGCGUUGCUCCUCCGACGCUCAAGUCAAUGAUCGACGUACAAGGAGAAAAAUCGUAAAAAAUUGUAGCAACGAGCGUGUUCAAAUGUGAAGCAUUGCAUUCCUCCGCGAUGGAGACCCCUUCUAAAGUACGAUUUGCCUAUAGUAUGUUCUCUGUCAUUUCUAACACAAACUUCUAGAAAAAUACAACAUGAUAGGUGCACGAUUCUUCUAUGGGCCAAUCGGUCGUCAAUCGGCCAGGAGGACGCCCAUUUCGUCCUAUGGGAUGCCGCCUUCGACUCGGCGCUCACUCGGUCUAUCCCUUGAACAGAGUGAAGGAACAUUGGACCUGGUUGGCCUUAAAGCCCAAUCGGCUUGAGUCACGUCAACAUAUUCACUACUUGGCAAUGAGGAUGGCCUAUUGGUUCCAAACUGGGAUGCUAAAUCCGACCGAAUCGAAGGCCUGGUCGGUCUAUCCCUUGAACAGAGUGAAGGAACAUUGGACCUGGUUGGCCUUAAAGCCCAAUCGGCUUGAGUCACGUCAACAUAUUCACUACUUGGCAAUGAGGAUGGCCUAUUGGUUCCAAAUUGGGAUGCUAAAUCCGACCGAAUCGAAGGCCUGGUUGGACACUUAUCUUUGACCGGGCGUGUAAGCAGCUCGGGCUCACCCCAACCGUUGUUGACAUCUUUGACCUCCUAUUGAUUUUGACCAUCAUGUCAGCUAGUCCUUAUCACUUUGACCCGCUUUUUUUUGGGGGUGGGGGUCCACUCUUAUCGCCGUAUCAAAUAGCAUUAUAAUCAGGAAGAAAGCGAUGCCAGUAUAGUAGUUGCCCUAGAUUCAAAACUAUUAGUGUAAAUAUCAAGUUUGGCUUCCCACUGAAAGUCAUCUCUUAUCAAAACGAGGAAGUAUGUUUGUUCACAUCUGGGUGGUGUUCUUGUCAAUUUUUCACUGAAUGGUUAUUGACCCGAUGUAUAGUGGGUGGCCCGAAGGAUAACACAAGGCCAAUGGUCAAGGUCAUGUGGCGGUCAAAAGUCAAGAUAAGGUGGCAGUCAAAGUCGAGGGGUACGUGUCCAAAUCGCCCAAUAGUUGGCCGGGUUCCCAGGGCAUAGUCCCUCACUUCUGGACACAACCCCAAUCCAUUCCCGUCAUUUCCAGUAAUGAUCGGAAUCACAGUUCAUUGUCCCUCACUUCUCAUGGGCAAGGCUCCUAGUCUACUCCCGACCGGCUCCACGCUGGUCAAACCCCUAGAUUCAGUCCCCUCACUUCUCAUGGGCAAGACUCCUAGUCUACUCCCGGUCAGCUCCACGUCGGUCGGACCCCAGAGCCUCAUGGGCAAGACUCCUAGUCUACUCCCGGUCAGCUCCACGUCGGUCGGACCCCAGGGCUCAGUCCUCUCACUUUGCAUGGGCAAGACUCCAAGAAUACACCCGGUCGGUCCUAGUGCCUAUCGAAUUUUCGCCAGGGGACAACAAUGUUAGGGUUAUAAGUGUGCAGGGCUCAUGCACCUCCUAGACUCUCGCCUCAGUGCGAGUUAUAAGCGAGUAAGGCUCUCGCGUCCAAUAACCAUCUGAUUGGGUCUGAGACUCUCAUCCCAGCAAUGAGUUAUAUAAAUGUGCAAGGCUCAUGCGCCUCCUAGACUCUCGGCCUAGAGUGAGUUAUAAGCGAGCAAGGCUCUCGCGCCCAACGACUAUCAGGUCAGGCCCAGAUUCUCAUCCCAGCGGUGAGUUAUAAGCGUGUCUGGCUCACGCACCCCUAGACUCUCAUUCCAGCUGGUAGACAGUGAUACUACUGGAUGUAUGACAAAUAUAAGCAAUGUCGGCGUCUUGUGCAUCAUAUACUUCCCCCGUAGUAAGACUGUCAAUAGCGUAAAUAAAAACUUCCCAGUGUUUACAGCAUUAAUUUUGUUGUAUUGUUUAAUAGUCCAGCACAAACACUUAAUUUAAUAAAAUUUAAUUAAUUAAUUGAAUUAAUUAGUAAUAAAUAUUUUUCAACAGAUGAAAUAUACCUGUAUCAAACGUAACAAAUAAGGAAAAAUAUGUAGUAUGCAUUAUUCUUGUAUUAUUUGAUUCGAAUGCUAAUCUUCGAAGAAUCCACAACAUUUUCAAAUCUAAAAACUAUGCAAUACCACAUUAUAUGUCCCAUUAAUGGAAUCCGCAUAUAACAUAACAUAGUUAAUUAAUAUAUAAUUAAAUGAAGGUAACCUCAGUCCACUAGCUAAUUAGUUUUGUAAGAAAUAUAUAUAAAUCUUACUUGACUCGUUAGUUGGUCCGUCAUUAAAAUUUCAACCAUCGGCUUUUCCUAUAAUUAAUAAAUUAAUAAAAAAUAGUAACUAAGUGAUUCUUUUAACAAUUUAUUGAUAGUAAGUAGUUAAUCUAUAUAUAGUUACCAUGGACGCCAGUGAAAACAUAAUGUUGAGCAUCGUCUGGCGAAAGUAGGAGUGUGUUGAGUCGUAAAAUAGAUUUGAUAGGAAGAUAAGCAAUCCAAUAAGCAUCUGCACAUGUAUAUUAAUUCAUAAUAUUUAAAAAUAAAAAUAAUUUGAAAUGAUAUAUAUACACAUACAUACCAGGACGAGGACUCUUGGAAUAGAGUCAAUAUACUUGCUUCUACUGGCAAACAGAAGAAGUGCGAGGAGGCCGAUAAAGACAACCAUCAAAAGGAAAGUGCUGAUGAGGAAAGCAUCACGGUGCUCAAGAGCCAUAUUAGGCGAUAAGUUCAAAAUGUAGUCAUGAUUAAUUAUGUUAUGGUGUCAUACCAAUAGAUUGCAUUUAUAGAAAAAUAUGAGCAAACUAAUCAAAGUAAAUAUACUGCAUGGAAUGGAAUUCAUAGAGAAUAUUACAAAAAUUUUGGUAAACAACCUACUGAAAGUGAUAUCAAAUAAUCAAGCUAAGAAUUAAUACAUAGAGAAUUAUACCAAAACAUCGGAUAAAUUCUUUUGAUGUAAUCAUUAAGAUGCACAUUGAAAUUAAGCAGUCGAGCUAAAAUGGCAUGUAAAAUGAUUGAUAAUACAAAACUAUCGGUGAAGAACCCUAUAACAAACAUAUCUUUCAUUAAUAAAUAAUUAAUAAGUUAAUAAUAAUAUAAUUGUAUUCAGAGAAAAUGUCCUUGAGGAUUUCUUCUAUAAUUCUUUGGAGCAGGAUGACGGAUGGGCGAGGGAUCCUAUGGAGCUAUUAGGAUAUGAUGGCGGAUGGAUGAGGGACCUUAUGGAGCCCUCGGAGUGGAAUGACGGAAGGGCGGAGGACCUUAUGGAACUCUUAGAGCGGAAUGACGAAUGGGCGAGGGACCUUGUGGAGCUAUCAGAGUUGGAUGAUGGAUGGGCGAACCUGCCUGAGCGGGAGGAUAGACGGGCAGAGGGUCUCGUCGCUCUUCCGGAAUAACCCGCCCUCUCCGAUUUAUUUCAAAAUUACUCAUCCGAAGGGGCCAUACAUCGAGGCCUUGGAUAGAGUAUCUAUUGCAAAAGAGAAGGCGUUUGUAGGAAAAAGCAUGAGGGGGUAAAUCAAAAACAAAGUUCUUACCUAGUGAGGGUGGUAUUUCCGCUGGGAGGGAGCUUAGACCAAACAUCUACAAGAUUCCCUCCUAACGCAACUCGGAAAUAUCAAACUUCAGACCUGCCAAUCGCUCUGAAGUUUCGGUGAAUGAUCGCUAUGUGCGGAAGUCGCCUAGCUUAGGCACGACUGGAAGGAGUGAUUGAUGUCCAAUCAGCCAAGCCACAGGAAAGGAAAAGUGAAGAAAAAAAUACUUAGUUUUCCAAUCCCUCCCCUGAAGAGGCAUUUUUGUCAAAAAAGGUUGUACUAGGAUGAGGUUGAAAACGAAAAAUGUCAUCAGUCUGGCGUUACGGAACAAAAAAGCAAUGAAACAGGCAUGUCAAGGGAAUUUCAUACAGACGGAAGAAGAUAGUGGUCCCACAUAGUAUGCAGAUAAAAUUGGGGUUGAACUGGCAAAGGGGAAUGCUGAAAUACCGACUCAUGUCGGAGAAGAAAGUAGGGAGGGGGAAACAAAGGCCCGCAUGGAUUUGAUCUUUAAAGAUAUAUAUUAUUACCGAUCAAUAAAGUGAUAUACUCCUUGGGUUGUUGAUGAGGUCUCAGAAAUCUUUUGAUUUUAUUUCUGUCAUUGUUAGCUAGGUUCUUUAUAAACAUAGACUCCAACGUGUCUUUUAGUGUUAACACCUAUAUUAAUAGUAAUUAAUUACCAACUUUAUAUAUACAUACACAUAUUACUACCUUUUUCAACCUAUUGAAGUAUGACCUUUCCGCCUCCGUCCUGAAUAAAUCGAUAAUUUAUUUUUCAUUUGAUACCUUCAUUUAAAUAAUUAACAUUUAAUUUAUUUCAAAUUUAUAAACUAAGACAUUAAUUAAAGUUUUAGUUUUAUUUUUAUUAAUUAUAAAACAAGGUUAAAUAUUAAAGAUGAAUGAAUAAAUUAAGAGAUAAAUUAAAACUAUAAAUAAAUUAAUAACUAAUUAUCUUUUUUAAUUUCUAAAUUAUAUCUUUAAACGUCUCCAUGAUUAAAUAACUGCAAAGACAAUAUAAAUAUAUAAUUUAUAUAACUUUAUAAUUUUUAUUUACUAUGAGAAAUGAAAAAAAAAUAUAAUAAAGAAAAGUAAAAACAACGAUACCUGUAAUUCUCAAGGUGGCAGAUAGUGGUGUACAAUUUGAUGGAGGAAUCCCGGAUUAACAUUUUCUUACUUCUCAACUCGAUGAUGGUCAAUAGGGAAAUAUCUACCGUUUGGGUAAUCACUUAGUUUAUUUUCGAGGUAUUUCCGUAGUUCAUCCAUCAAUUUCUCUUCACUCUCGUGACACUCUUUCUCAAUGGAUUGAAAAACUCUAUUUACCCUUUCUAAUUUUUCAUGUAGUUUAUCUCUAUACUUUUCGACCUGUAAUUUAUAUAGAAAAUAUAUUUUAUAUAUUUAUUUUUACUGCUAAUAAAUAAAUAAUUAUACACAUUCUAUUAUCCUCCUUUGUUUUUUUCUAUGAUGUUCUUAAAAAAAUAAAUAAAAUAUUAAAAAAAUAGAUCAACUAUAUAAGUUUUAUGGUGUAAGGGUUUAGAGUUUACCGGAAUCAUUAAAUCGUAAAAGAUGUUUACGGACAGAGCUUCAAAGCCAACUCUGUCAGCACGGUCGUGAUCUCGAAGACGAUCUUUCAAAUUGUAUAAUAGAUGCUUUAGUUCUCGGUAUCGCAUUAAGUUGUAUUUCCAUGGCAUGAUAUUCUAAGAAAAUUCAUCUCUCAUUUCUAUCAAUCAGGCUAUUAAGGAAGAAGAGGAACUUCCUCCCUCUCACGGAUCGGUCCUAAUCUCAGAUAUAGAAAGUUAAUGGGAGAAGAGAAUGAGAGGAAGGUUCUCGGUGGUCGCUCGGUGGUAGCGACCAUCGAGAACGAGCGACCAUCGAGAACCUUCCUCUCCUUCUCUUCUGCAUCGCUUCUCCCAUUAACUUUCUAUAUCUGAGAUUAGGAUUGAUCCGAGAGAGGAAGUUCCUCUUCUUCCUUAAUAGUCUGAUCGAUGGAAAUGAGAAAUGAAUUUUCUUGGGAUAUCAUGCCAUGAAAAUACGACUUAAUGCGAUACCGAGAGCUAAAACAUCUAUUAUACAAUUUGAAGGAUCGUCUUCGAGAUCACGACCGAGUUGGCUUUGAAGCUCUGUCCAUAAACAUCUUUCACGAUCUAAUGAUUCCGGUAAAUUCUAAACCCUUAUACUAUUAAUAACUUAUAGUUGAUCUAUUUUUAAAAAUAUUUUAUUUAAUUUUUUAGGAACUUCAUAGAAAAAUACAAAGGAGGAUAAUAAUAUAUACUGAGAUAGAAUAUGUAUAAUUAUUUAUUUAUUAGCAAUAAAAAUAAAUAUAUAAAAUAUAUUUUGUAUAUAAAUUGCAGGCCGAAAAGUAUAGAGAUAAACUAAAUGAAGAAUUAGAAAGGGUAAAUAGAUUUGUUCAUCCAUUGAGGAAGAGUGUCAUGAGAGUGAAGAGAAGUUGAUAGAUGAACUACGGAAAUACCUCGAAAAUAAACAAGUGCUUACCCAAACGGUAGAUAUUUCCCUAUCGUUGUUUUUACUUUUCUUUAUUAUAUUUUUUUUCUCAUUACUCAUAGUAAAUAAAAAUUAUAAAGUUAUAUAAAUUAUAUAUUUAUAUUGUCUUUGUAGUUAUUUAAUUAUGGAGACGUUUAAAGAUAUAUUUUAGAAAUUAAAAAAGGUAAUUAGUUAUUAAUUUAUUUAUAGUUUUAAUUUAUCUCUUAGUUUAUUCAUUUAUCUUUAAUAUUUAAACUUGUUUUAUAAUUAAAAAAAUAAAACUAAAAUUUAAUUAAUGUCUUAGUUUAUAAAUUUGAAAUAAAUUAAAUGUUAAUUAUUUAAAUGAAGGUAUCAAAUAAAAAAUAAAUUAUCGAAUUAUUCAGGAUGGAGGCGGAAAGGUCAUACUUCAAUAGGUUGAAAAAGGUAGUAAUAUGUGUAUGUAUAUAUAAAGUUGGUAAUUAAUUACUAUUAAUAUAGGUGUGUUAACACUAAAAGACACGUUAGAGUCUAUGUUUAUAAAGAACCUAGCUAACAAUGACAAAAAUAAAAUCAGAAGAUUUCUGAGACCUCAUCAACAACCCAAGGAGUAUAUCACUUUAUUGAUCGGUAAUAAUAUAUAUCUUUAAAGAUCAAAUCCAUGCGGGACUUCGUUUUCCCCUCCCCACUUUCUUCUCCGACAUGAGUCGGUAUUUCAGCAUUCCCCUUUGCCAGUUCAGCCCCAAUUUUAUCCGCAUACUAUGUGGGAUCACUAUCUUCUUACGUCUGUAUGAAAUUCCCUUGACACGCGUAUUUCAUUGCUUUUUUGUUCCGCAACGCCAGACUGAUGACAUUUUUCGUUUUCACCCUCAUCUUAGGACAACCUUUUUGACAAAAUACCUCUUCAGGGGAGGGAUUGGAAAACUAAGUAUUUUUUUCUUCACUUUCCCUCUCCUGUGGCUUGGUUGAUUGGACAUCAAUCACUCCUUCCAGUCGUGCCUGAGCUAGGCGACUUCCGCACAUAGCGAUCAUUCACCGAAGCUUCAGAACGAUUGGCAGUGGCCUAAGCUCCCUCCCAGCGGAAAUACCGCCCUCACUAGGUAAGAACUUUGUUUUUGAUUUACCCCUUUUGGUUUUUCCUCUUUUACAGUGGAUACUCUAUCCAGGGCCUUGGUGUCUGGAUCCCUUCAGAUGAGUAAUUUUGAAAUAAACCGGAGAGGGUGGGCUAUUUUGGCAGGCCCUCUGCCCUUUAUCCUCCCGCUCAGGCAGGUCCACCCAUUCAUCAUCUAGCUCUGAUAACUCCACAAUGUUUAUCGUCCAUUCGUCAUUCCGCUCUGAGAGUUCCACAAGGUCCCCUGCCCAUCUGUCAUUCCGCUCCGAGAGCUCCACAAGGCCCUCAUCCAUCCGCCAUUCUAUCCUACUAGCUCUGCAGGGUCCCCUACCCAUCCGUCAUCCUGCUUUAGAGUUGUCUGUUUCAAAUGAACCGCUGACUUUUGCCGUAAAAGACCUCAGUCGCCUAUCGGGGCUGCCCCAGUUUCGACUCGACUCGAGCAGAGACCCUCGCCCGUCCCUUCAGUCCCUCAAACAACUCUGACUGAGAUAGGUCGCCCUGCUGUUGUUGAGCAAAUUGGGAUCGAGCGGGAAUCUAUACCUUCGUUCGGUGGAAAGCCCCGAUAGAGAUAGCAAAGCCUAUUCUAAGGGGCCACCUCCUCAACUAAUUGGCCCCUUCGCACGUCCUCGUCUAGCCAGACCUAUCCUCGACACGUCGACCUCCAAGCUUGUUACUCCCCGUCGAUUCUACUUCCAUGUUGACAUGCCUUCCCAGCAAAGGAUGGCUAUCGACCCCCACCUCACUCGGAGGGUAGUAGAAUUAAAGGGUUUAAUGACAGAUGCCUGGAUAGACUCUAUGAAACAAAUAAACGUCAGCUCGGUACUCGAUCGGGUAGAUGUGUUCGCUCAGGAUGCCUCCGCGAUAAGCCCAUGAUUUUUCUAUUUCGGCAGGUGGGGUUGGUGUGAUUCUAACUAUUUCUUUUAUUAGUUCUUUGCUUUCGGGCUGAACCUAAGCUAGCUAGCGAUGGAUUCGUAUCGUCAAAACAAAAUUUUGAAGGAUCGCAUAGCAAAGCUAGAAUCUCAUUCCUCUAAUGCAUUUCUAGAGGUGCAUCGACUACAGCUGGAGACAGAGACUUUGACGAAGCUAACUGUUGGGAAGGAGAAAGCUUUAGGGGAAGCUAUGCAGGCUGCGGAUCUUCAUUGGGUAAACAAAGAAAAGCUUGAAGCGCUCUUGCAGGCUACUGAGUCUAAAUGUCGAGCGAAGACUGCCAUAAAGGAAAAAACCGCAAUGGACUUAGCGCAGAGACUAAUGCGUUGGACAACCUAAAAAAGUCAUAUGCUUCUCAGGUAGCUCGCCUAACUAAGGAGCUCGGGGCCAAGGAUAUGGAAUAAUAUGUUAGCAAAGGGACCUGGACUCCUGGGCUAUCGAGUUAGAAUCCUUGAAGCCGAACUGGAACAAACCAAGUUCAAGUCAUCAACCUCGAAGGCCAACUGGGAGACUUAUCAAGCGGGUGAAAAUGGGCGUUUAGCGGCUAGGCAGGCGAACUACCUUUGUUCUCCUGAAUUCGGGCGGCAAUUUGGCGAUCGCAUUACCCAACACUCUCCUAUGGAACAAACUACGUGAGGAGGGAUAUUUGACAACCUCCACACACACACACAUAGAAUUAUAGAAGAAAUGCUCGAGGACAUUUUCUCUGAAUAUAAUUAUAUUAUUAUUAACUCAUUAAUUAUUUAUUAAUGAAAGAUAUGUUUGUUACAGGGUUCUUCACCGACAAUUUUGUGUUAUCAAUCAUUUUACAUUUCAUCUUAGCUCAACUCAACUGCUUAAUUUUAAUAUGCAUCCUAAUGAUUACAUCGAAAGAAUUUAUCCGAUCUUUUGGUAUAAUUCUCUAUGUAUUAAUUCUUAUCUCAAUUGUUUGAUAUCACUUUCAGUGAGUUGUUCUUCGACACUUUUUGGAAUAUUCUCUAUGUAUUCUAUUCCGUGCAGUGUAUUUGCUUUGAUUAUUCUGCACAUAUUUUUCUAUGAAUGCAAUCUAUUGGCAUGACACUGUAACAGAAUCAAUCAUAACUAUAUUUUGAACUUGUCGCCUAAUACGACUCUUGAGCACCGUGAUGCUUUCUUCAUCAGCACUUUCCUUUUGAUGGUCGUCUCUAUCGGCCUCCUCGCUCUUCUCCUCCUUCUGUUUGCCAGUAGAAGCAAGUAUAUUGAUGCUAUUCCAAGAGUCUUGCUGGUACAAGCAAAUAUAUUGACUCUAUUCCAAGAGUCCUCGUCCUGAUAUGUUUGUGUAUAGAUAUCAUUUCAAAUUAUUUUCAUUUUUAAAUAUUAUGAAUUAAUAAACAUAUGCAGAUGCUUAUUGUGUUGCUUAUUUCCCAUCAAAUCUAUUCUAUAGCUGAACACGCUCCUACUUUCGUCGGACGAUGUUCAACAUUAUGUUUUUGCUGGCAUCCAUGGUAAUUAUAUAUAGAUUAACUACUUACUAUCAAUAAAUUGUUAAAAAAAUUACUUAGUUAUUAUUUUUUAUUAAUUUAUUAAUUGUAGGAAAUGUCGAUGGUUGAAAUUUUAAUGAUGGACCAACUAACGAGUCAAGUAAGAUAUAUAUAUAUAUUUAUUACAAAACUAAUUAGCUAUUGAAAUAAGUUUAACUUCAUUUAAUUAUAUGUUAAGUAACUAUGUUAUGCAUGCAAAUUUUCGUAAUGAGACAUAUAAUAUGGUAUUGCUUGGUUUUUUAGAUUUGAAAAUGUUGUGUGUUCUUCUAAGAUUAGCAUUCGAACCAAACAGUACAAGAAUAAUGCAUACUACAUAUUUUUCCCUGUUUUGUUUGGUACAGGUAUAUUUCAUAUCUUGAAAAAAUAUUUAUUACUAAUUAAUUCAGUUACUUAAUUAAAUUUUAUUAAUGAAGUGUUAGUGUUGAACUGUUAAACAAUUCAAAUUGAUGUUACAAACACUGGAAAGUUUUUAUUUACGUUGUUGGCAGUCUUACUACCGUGGAAGUACAUAACGUAUAAGAUGCCGACAUUGCUUAUAUUUGUCAUACUCACAUCCAGUAGUAUCACUAUCUACCAACUCUACUGGGACUUUGUCAUGGACUGUGUCUCCUUGACUUCCAAUCCCCGAACCGCUUUCUCAUAGACAAACUCAUUGAAAAUAAAAUUAUAUUACUACACAUCCAUGGUAAGUAGAUUAGUAUAGUUAAGUGAUCGACUAUAUAUUCAUAUAAUAUAUAAAUGUUACCGGGCUUGAACCUUAUACUUCAAUUUACAUGGAUCGUGAAUUUGAUGCCGUUGGAAUUAAGUCAAGAAGAGAACCAAAUGAUUAGUUUUCUACUUGCUUCCUUGGAAAUAAUUCGACAAGCAGAUUGGAAUUUCUACGUGUAUAUAGGCUUAAUGAAUUUAAUAGCUAAAUACAUUUUGAUAUUAUUAUAGUGAUUGGUGUGUAAUCAUAUUUACAUGUAAAUGUAUAGAAUAGAGAAUGUGCAUUUCCAAUCACAGAGCACUGAGGUUUGUUUUCCAUAUUUUUGACUUUUUUAAAAUCUUUUUCUUCAUCUUUUAAAUCCUAGCUUAUUGUUAGAAAUCUAUGUACAAACUUUCAUUCUUCCUAUCAGACAUGCAAUUCCGAUAUGGCAUGUAGAAUUAGACAUGCAAUUUCGAUGGUUGAGUUUUUCUUUAAUUAUUCCUAUAACACUAAAUUUUAAAAGUUAGACAACUGCUAGCAUUUAAGUAUUUAAGUAGGUCCUUGUGAAUGUGAUCUAUGUUCCUUGUGUAUUUUUUCCUCAAAAUUUGAAGAGGCUUAAGAUAUUCCUUGAUUUUUUUUUUCUUUCUAUAAUUUAUUGUAAUACUUACAAUAGAAAGAUAUUUUUUUAAUUAGGUGGUGAUUUAAUGCUGCAAAAAUGUUUGUUGGUAUAUUGGAACAACUUCCAAAUAAAUUGUAUUCUUAUAGGCCAAUAAUUCUAAGAGCACUAUAGUACUUAAUUCUAAGGGCACUACAGCUUAAGAUGCAAAAGGUUUUCUCUAACUGAUAUGUUAAUUUAGCAUUUUUUUUCAUGGCCAUCAAUUUUUUUCUCAUAAAUGAGGUACUGUCUUAGUUUUUUGUUUUUUCAUGGCUACAAAUGAACUGAGGACGGAGGGGAAAAUUAUACAAAGGAUGGUACUAUCUUCGUUUUGGAUGUCACCGUUAGGAUUAACAUUGAAACAGAGGUGGACAGAGACAAAUGACUAAUCUCUUAGGAGAAGUGUCUUACCAACUGAAGUCACCGCCACCUUGAUGUUGUUUUUCUUAAUUGCUGAAUGCUGAUGCAGGAAUAAUUAGGUUGCGGUUAGUUACCUCACACGUCAUUUCCAAAUUCCAAUGGCCCAGUCAAUCACUACCGGCACCACCCUGCCUGUCAUUAUUUUGUUUGUUGUUCAUUUGCAUCAAUUGGUUGGUGGUGAUCUAUGUUAAUUUGGAACUGGAGCCACUUGGUCUCUACCAAGGAGCUAGCUGAUGAGAGUGAGCGAACGUGUUGUUGACAUCUGAGAAUCUUUAUGGAUCAUUGAUUCUUAUUCUCCGUA